UGAUGACAUUCUCCGGAAUCUCUGUACAUCUGUUGAUGAUACCAUCGAACCCUUUUGUCUGACAGCAGUAAAACCCACC